rnacentral:rRNA from 1 species
UUUCCUACGGGGCGCCGCAGUAGGGCUUCUCCCAUAUUUGGCGAAAGCCUGAUGGAGCAACGCCGCGUGGGUGAAGAAGGUCUUCGGAUCGUAAAACCCUGUUGUUAGAGAAGAAAGUGCGUGAGAGUAACUGUUCACGUUUCGACGGUAUCUAACCAGAAAGCCACGGCUAACUACGUGCCAGCAGCCGCGGUAAUACGUAGGUGGCAAGCGUUAUCCGGAUUUAUUGGGCGUAAAGAGAACGCAGGCGGUCUUUUAAGUCUGGUGUGAAAGCCUUCGGCUUAACCGGCGUAGUGCAUUGGCAA